rnacentral:rRNA from 1 species
UUGUUGCAGUUAAAAAGCUCGUAGUUGGAUUUCUGGUCGGAGCGAUCGGUCCGCCUCAUUCGGGGUGUGUACUUGUGUCGUCUCCAGCCAUCCUUGAGGAGAACUGUUCUGGCAUUGAGUUGUUGGGGCAGGGAACCUCAUCUUUUACUGUGAAAAAAUUAGAGUGUUUAAAGCAGGCUUACGCCGUUGAAUACAUUAGCAUGGAAUAAUAAGAUAGGACUUUGGCGGUCUAUUUUGUUGGUUUGCACGCCGAGGUAAUGAUUAAUAGGGAUAGUUGGGGGUAUUCGUAUUUAAUUGUCAGAGGUGAAAUUCUUGGAUUUCUGAAAGACGAACUACUGCGAAAGCAUUUACCAAGGAUGUUGUCAUUAAUCAAGAACGAAAGUUAGGGGAUCGAAGAUGAUUAGAUACCAUCGUAGUCUUAACCAUAAACUAUGCCGACUCGGGAUUGGCGGGCGUUCUCUUUAUGACUCCGUCAGCACCGUAUGAGAAAUCAAAGUCUUUGGGUUCCGGGGGGAGUAUGGUCGCAAGGCUGAAACUUAAAGGAAUUGACGGAAGGGCACCACCAGGAGUGGAGCCUGCGGCUUAAUUUGACUCAACACGGGGAAACUUACCAGGUCCAGACAUAGUGA